rnacentral:rRNA from 1 species
AGUAAAAGUCGUAACAAGGUCUCCGUUGGUGAACCAGCGGAGGGAUCAUUAGAGGAAUACCCAAAACCUCCCAACCCCUGUGAACUUACCACUGUUUCCUCGGCGUGCGCACCUGGAUGCCCGCGGGAGAUGCGGACUUACCCUGUAGCUACCCUGUAGCUACCCUGUAAGGCCGGAUCUUCAGCACACGGCGCCGCUCAAGGUCCCGCCGAAGUACCCUGAACUCUGUUUUACGUGAAAUUCUGAAUGCUUCAACUAAAUAAGUUAAAACUUUCAACAACGGAUCUCUUGGUUCUGGCAUCGAUGAAGAACGCAGCGAAAUGCGAUAAGUAAUGUGAAUUGCAGAAUUCAGUGAAUCAUCGAAUCUUUGAACGCACAUUGCGCCCAUUAGUAUUCUAGUGGGCAUGCCUAUUCGAGCGUCAUUUCAACCCUUAAGCCCCUGUUGCUUAGCGUUGGGAGUCCACAGGUUACCCUGUAGCUCCUGCAAAACCAUUGGCGGAGUCUGGGAGCACUCUAAACGUAUUAUACAUUUUUGUCUCGCUUUGGAUCUUGCCCCGCCUCCACGCCGUAAAACACCCCAUAUCAAAUGUUGACCUCGGAUUAGGUAGGAAUACCCGCUGAACUUACGCAUAUCAAUAAGCGGAGGAAAGGGCGAAUUCCAUCCACACUGG